rnacentral:misc_RNA from 1 species
UCCGGGUUGGACCCGGCCGGAUUAUUCAUCCGCCGCUGGCAACUGGACGCGGGGGUUGCGCUCGUUGCGGGACUUAACCCAACAUCUCACGACACGAGCUGACGACAGCCAUGCAGCAUCUGUGCACGGACUCCGAAGAGCGACCCUGAUCUCUCAAGAUCUUCCCGUGCAUGUCAAGCCCAGGUAAGGUUCUUCGCGUUGCGUCGAAUUAAACCACAUGCUCCACCGCUUGUGCGGGCCCCCGUCAAUUCCUUUGAGUUUCAGCCUUGCGGCCGUACUCCCCAGGCGGUCAACUUCACGCGUUAGCUUCGUUACCAAGGAAUUGCUUCCCCGACAACCAGUUGACAUAGUUUAGGGCGUGGACUAC